UACGUAGGGUGCAGGCGUUAAUCGGAAUUACUGGGCGUAAAGCGUCGACGCAGGCGGUUCUUAAGUCAGGGGUGAAAUCCGAGCGCUCAACUCCGGAACUGCCUUUGAUACUGGCGACCUUGAGGCUGGAAGAGGUUAGUGGAAUUCCCAGUGUAGAGGUGAAAUUCGUAGAUAUUGGGAAGAACACCAGUGGCGAAGGCGGCUAACUGGUCCAGAUCUGACGCUGAGGUGCGAAAGCGUGGGGAGCAAACAGG
rnacentral:rRNA from 1 species